UACGUAGGUGGCAAGCGUUAUCCGGAAUUAUUGGGCGUAAAGCGCACGUAGGCGGCUUAGCAAGUCGGAUGUGAAAUCCCUCGGCUCAACCAAGGAAGUGCAUCCGAAACUGCUGAGCUUGAGUACGAAAGAGGAUCGCGGAAUUCCCGGUGUAGAGGUGAAAUUCGUAGAUAUCGGGAGGAACACCAGUGGCGAAGGCGGCGAUCUGGGUCGAUACUGACGCUGAGGUGCGAAAGCGUGGGGAGCAAACAGG
rnacentral:rRNA from 1 species